UGGGUAUGUGGAAAACCAGAUGGUUGAUCAUCCAGAUGAUCAUAAUCUCCUGAAAGUGCUUGAUUCAGAAAGGAUGAAAUGGGAUGGUAUUGUCCCGACUACAGUUUCGUCAUAUGAGGGUGGAAGAAAAUGGUCGAAGUUGUACUGUUUGUCAGUAAAAGUACAGUUUCGGCCAUUUUCUUCCACUGUCCUGUGACUAAACCGUAGUCGGGCCAACACCAUCCCAUUUUGCCUUCAUCUUUUCUGAAUCAAGCACUUUCAGGAGAUUAUGAUCAUCCGGAUGAUCAACCAUCUAGUUUUCCA